UCCUUAUGUUUGAACUGUCAGUCGGAGCGUGACAGCUGCAGUAAGUUCUCUUUUGCAGUAACGUCACCUUGACUGUUGUCUUCUCUCAAGUUGUCUUCCUGAAGACACAGGUUGUUCAGUACUACACCAGGAUCUUCAUGCUGCUCUAUAGAGAACAUUCAGUCAAUUAAAUGCAUCAGAACCAAG